CCUACGGGAGGCUGCAGUGAGGCAUAUUGGUCAAUGGGCGAGAGCCUGAACCAGCCAAGUCGCGUGAGGGAUGACGGCCCUACGGAUUGUAAACUUCUUUUGUCAGGGAGCAAUUGGGUCCACGCGUGGGCUUAGCGAGAGUACCUGAAGAAAAAGCAUGGGCUAAAUCCUGGCCAGCAGCCGCGGUAAUACGGAGGUUGGGAGCGUUAUCCGGAUUUAUGGGGUUUAAAGGGUGCGUAGGCGGAAUAUUCAGCCAGCGGGAAAAAUUCGGGGCUAAACCCCUACGGGGCGUUGAAACGGAUAUUCGUGAGUGGGAGAGAAGUAUGCGGAAGGCGGGGGGUAGCGGUGAAAGGCAUAGAAAUCACGCAGAACUCCGAUUGCGAAGGCAGCAUACCGGCGCCAAACUGACGCUGAGGCACGAAAGCGUGGGUAUCGAACAGGAUUAGAUACCCUAGUAGUC
rnacentral:rRNA from 1 species